UCUCUUUGUCUCCCACCAAAAAUAAAAUAAAAAGAAAACUCUGACUUUCUCGUCUCCUUUCCCCGACUUCCAUACCAAAACCUUCAAUAAAGUCAAGAAAACAGGGAGAGGUAACUUGGGUUUCUUGAAACCUAUCCAGCGUCCAAAGACAAGGUUUUUGGCCAUAGCUAUAGCAGAUUUAUUAUCAAGCCACAAAUCAGUAGCUUCAAGCUGAGGCAUAGUGAGCUCAUGAAGAGCCUUCCUCACCCAAAUUGCAUGAUUUGCUGCUGAAGUUGCAGCCACAUACUCAGCUUCUGCAGAAGAUUGAGCAACCCUGUCUUACUUAUGGGAGCUCCAAGAAAACGUGCCAUUUCCAAGAGUGAAUACAUACCCGGAAGUGCUCUUUGCAUCAUCUAGAGAUCCAGCCCAGUCACUAUUAGAAAAUCCUGAUAGUUUGACAGCCUUUGUAUUAGUGAACUUCAAACCAAAAGCUGUUGUACCUUUUAAAUACCUAAGUAUUCUUUUUGCAGCAACAAAAUGACAGCUUCUUGAUUUUUGCAUAAAACGAGAUAAAUAGCUGACAGCAAACAUAACAUCAGGCCUUGUUGCACAUGGGUACAGAAGACAACCAAUAAGACUUCUAUAUUGAGAAGGA